AACGAACGCUGGCGGCAUGCUUUACACAUGCAAGUCGAACGGUAACAGGCCGCAAGGUGCUGACGCGUGGCGAACGGGUGAGUAAUGCAUCGGAACGUGCCCAGUCGUGGGGGAGAACGCAGCGAAGGCUGCGCUAAUACCGCAUACGAUCUGUGGAUGAAAGCGGGGGACCGUAAGGCUUCGCGCGCUUGGAGCGGCCGAUGACAGAUUAGGUAGUUGGUGGGGUAAAGGCUCACCAAGCCGACGAUCUGUAGCUGGUCUGAGAGGACGACCAGCCACACUGGGACUGAGACACGGCCCAGACUACUACGGGAGGCAGCAGUGGGGAAUUUUGGACAAUGGGGGCAACCCUGAUCCAGCAAUGCCGCGUGCAGGAAGAAGGCCUUCGGGUUGUAAACUGCUUUUGUACGGAACGAAAAGGCUCUGGUUAAUACCCGGAGUUAAUGACGGUACCGUAAGAAUAAGCACCGGCUAACUACGUGCCAGCCGCCGCGGUAAAAC
rnacentral:rRNA from 1 species